CGUGUAGGCGGCUCUUUAAGUGAGAUGUGAAAUCCCGUGGCUCAACCACGGAACUGCAUUUCAAACUGGAGGGCUUGAGUUUGGGAGAGGAAAGUGGAAUUCCUGGUGUAGCGGUGAAAUGCGUAGAUAUCAGGAGGAACACCCGUGGCGAAGGCGGCUUUCUGGCCCAACACUGACGCUGAGACGCGAAAGCUAGGGGAGCGAACGGGAUUAGAUACCCCGGUAGUCCUAGCCGUAAACGAUGGAUACUAGGUGUUAGAGGUAUCGACCCCUCUAGUGCCGUAGCUAACGCAUUAAGUAUCCCGCCUGGGGAGUACGGCCGCAAGGUUGAA
rnacentral:rRNA from 1 species